UGGCGUGUAGCUCAAUGGUUAGAGCGGCAGCCUUAUAGCUGUGUGUGCCGGUCCGAUUCCGGCCACGCCAA
rnacentral:tRNA from 1 species